CCUACGGGAGGCAGCAGUGAGGAAUAUUGGUCAAUGGGAGAGAGCCUGAACCAGCCAAGCCGCGUGAGGGAUGACGGCCCUAUGGGUUGUAAACUUCUUUUGUAGGGGAACAAAACCCGGGUCGUGUUCCGCAGUGCGUGUACCCUACGAACAAGGAUCGGCUAACUCCGUGCCAGCAGCCGCGGUAAUACGGAAGGUCCGGGCGUUAUCCGGAUUUAUUGGGUUUAAAGGGAGCGUAGGUGGGCUGUUAAGUCAGUUGUGAAAGUCCGCGGCUCAACCGUGGAAUUGCAGUUGAAACUGGCAGACUUGAGUGCAGUAGAGGAUAGCGGAAUUCAUGGUGUAGCGGUGAAAUGCUUAGAUAUCAUGAAGAACUCCGGUUGCGAAGGCAAGUAUCUGGAAUACAACUGACGCUGAGGCGCGAAAGUGUGGGUAUCAAACAGGAUUAGAUACCCUUGUAGUC
rnacentral:rRNA from 1 species